GAUGAACGCUAGCGGCAGGCCUAACACAUGCAAGUCGAGGGGGAGGUUACUUUCGGGUAACUGAGACCGGCGUACGGGUGCGUAACGCGUAUACAAUCUGCCUUUCACUGGGGGAUAGCCCGAAGAAAUUUGGAUUAAUACCCCAUAGUAUAGUAAUACGGCAUCGUGAUGCUAUUAAAGCUUAGGUGGUGAAAGAUGAGUAUGCGUUCUAUUAGCUAGUUGGAGAGGUAACGGCUCCCCAAGGCGAUGAUAGAUAGGGGUUCUGAGAGGGGUGUCCCCCACACUGGUACUGAGAUACGGACCAGGCUCCUACGGGAGGCAGCAGUGAGGAAGAUUGGACAAUGGUCGGAAGACUGAUCCAGCCAUGCCGCGUGCAGGAUGAAGGUCUUAUGGAUUGUAAACUGCUUUUGUAAGGGAAGAAUAAGGGCUACGCGUAGUUUGAUGACGGUACCUUACGAAUAAGCAUCGGCUAACUCCGUG
rnacentral:rRNA from 1 species